rnacentral:lncRNA from 1 species
CCAAUCAAAACACAAAAACGUGCUUACGAAGCCACAUCUUCUCUCCUCUCAUUGGAUCGGUGUAGUAGACCCUGUCCAUACAAUAAUCCCUCAUCCAUUUGCAUCAAACGCCUCUAUCGAUGUUCGCUAGGGGUCUGUUUGGAUUGACGAAUCCGUAAAUCCAACGUAAGUCAAGUGCAGUGGUGUUUGAGUUUUUCUGAAGUGUGAUUAUUUUUUGGUUGUUUGUUUUGACGUAAAUCGUAUAGCCUGAAAGUUAAAUUCAAUUAUUUCUUCUGUUUGUUUUGAUGUAAUUUGGUGCUGGUGAAAUUAGUUUUGUGAGUUCCGUUGUUUGUUUUGAUGUAAGUAAGUGGAUCUCAUUAUCUCCUAAAUAUAAUAGUAAAUUUACCGCUAUAAAAUUUAACUUAUUAUAUAAUUAAUUUUUUUUAUUAUUAUUUAAAGAUAAUCCUAAUUUAUUAUAAAUAAGGUAAUUCUAAUCUAUUAUAAGGGAAGUAGAGUUUAGGUUUUACUGUUUAAUAAAUAUUUUAGAGGAGGUUGAGUAUGGUGGAAGUCGAGUUUGACACUUUAGAGGAGGAAGUCGAGAGUAGGUGAAGUGGAGGUCUAACGUAACUUGAGUUACAUUAUAUUUUUCACUUACACCAAAAUAAAUAACGAAAGUGAUGGAACUUGAGUUCCAUCACUCCACUUACACCAAAACAAACAUGCCCUAGAAUGUUCCGAACGAACUGUGGAGUUCGACGUCCGCACGUAACACCAUA